UACGAAGGGGGCUAGCGUUGUUCGGAAUCACUGGGCGUAAAGCGCACGUAGGCGGAUGAUUAAGUCAGGGGUGAAAUGCCAAGGCUCAACCUUGGAACUGCCUUUGAUACUGGCCAUCUGGAGUCCGGGAGAGGUGAGUGGAACUGCGAGUGUAGAGGUGAAAUUCGUAGAUAUUGGGGAAGAACACCGGUGGCGAAGGCGGCUCACUGGCUCAUUACUGACGCUCAGGCGCGAUAGCGUGGGGAUCAAACAGG
rnacentral:rRNA from 1 species